GAGGUUUAUGGUUUUGGCGCCCAUACCGGACGGGGUAUGGGGACGGCCCGUUUCACCCUCAUACCGGACGGGGUAUUGAGGUUCAUGGUUUUGGCACCCAUACCGGACGGGGUAUGGGGACGGCCCUGGAAACUGAUUAUGAAUGUUAAAGGUUAACGGGUAGCGGAACCCCUAUGGACCCCCACGGAUACUAGUAGGCUGGUAAAUGAGAAAAAGAUAUGUUGUACAAUGAUUGAAUUACAAGAGGCGUGAUAAGUGUUAUGUUUUAC
rnacentral:lncRNA from 1 species